rnacentral:rRNA from 1 species
CAGUAGCCGCGGGAAAACGGAGGGUGCAAGCGUUAUCCGGAUUUAUUGGGUUUAAAGGGUCCGUAGGCGGACUUAUAAGUCAGUGGUGAAAGCCUGUCGCUUAACGAUAGAACUGCCAUUGAUACUGUAAGUCUUGAGUAUAUUUGAGGUAGCUGGAAUAAGUAGUGUAGCGGUGAAAUGCAUAGAUAUUACUUAGAACACCAAUUGCGAAGGCAGGUUACCAAGAUAUAACUGACGCUGAGGGACGAAAGCGUGGGUAGCGAACAGGAUUAGAUACCCGGGUAGUCCCUGUCUCUUAUAC